rnacentral:pre_miRNA from 1 species
AGUGAAAUAGCUGGAUCAUAUGGCAGUUUCAUUCCUAGUCUUCUGAAGAAUAUUUAUACUCCUUUCUAAAGUGAUUGUGCUACUUUGCAAUCCCAUUAACAAU